AUUGAACGCUGGCGGCAGGCCUAACACAUGCAAGUCGAACGGUAACAGGAAACAGCUUGCUGUUUCGCUGACGAGUGGCGGACGGGUGAGUAAUGUCUGGGAAACUGCCUGAUGGAGGGGGAUAACUACUGGAAACGGUAGCUAAUACCGCAUAACGUCGCAAGACCAAAGAGGGGGACCCUCGGGCCUCUUGCCAUCGGAUGUGCCCAGAUGGGAUUAGCUUGUUGGUGGGGUAACGGCUCACCAAGGCGACGAUCCCUAGGUGGUCUGAGAGGAUGACCAGCCACACUGGAACUGAGACACGGUCCAGACUCCUACGGGAGGCAGCAGUGGGGAAUAUUGCACAAUGGGCGCAAGCCUGAUGCAGCCAUGCCGCGUGUAUGAAGAAGGCCUUCGGGUUGUAAAGUACUUUCAGCGGGGAGGAAGGGAGUAAAGUUAAUACCUUUGCUCAUUGACGUUACCCGCAGAAGAAGCACCGGCUAACUCCGUG
rnacentral:rRNA from 1 species